rnacentral:sRNA from 1 species
AACUAACCUGCAACCCGACUUCAACGGAAAUCCUUUUUUUUGAAGGGCCUAAAGCGUUGGCAAAAAAAAGAUUGGGAGUGGAAGGCGGAUUAAGUU